GGCUAAACGUGGUCUUAGCCUCCAAUGCUCCAUCCCCCUUCCCAAACCACCCUCCACCAGGAUGCCCGGCAUCAGAACAUUCCAGGCAUUCCCGUGAUUGGCAGAUAGCAGGUUGAUUGGCAUGUCGGACCCCGCGAACACUUGGUACUGAGCUCCCAGUUGUCUUGAAAGCACCGUCAAUCCAGAGAAUGCCAGACUUUGAUGACAAAAGUUUGACAAAAUGUGCCCACAAGGACUGCAGCACCACCUUCCUGUUCAAGUGAGCAUAGCACAAGGUCCAUUACCAGCCUUCGCAUCUCUCCUCCUCAAAUCUGUGGACCUGGCCAGGGGGAGGCCUUUUACGAGGGUGGAUGAGGCAGCAAUUCUAGCAUUAGGGGGUUUGCUUGUUGGUAGGUGCCGCUUAGCUGUCCUCUGAGCUCCCUUGUUGUUUCUGGAUGGAGCUGGCUUCAGGUUCUUGUCUACAGAGGGACACACAGGUAGUAGCUUAUUAUAACACAUUACACAAAGGGAAAUUGCUAUAGUCAAACACACAAAUGUGAAUUUAAGAG
ensembl:lncRNA